rnacentral:rRNA from 1 species
UGAACGCUGGCGGCGUGCCUAAUACAUGCAAGUCGAGCGAACAGACGAGGAGCUUGCUCCUCUGACGUUAGCGGCGGACGGGUGAGUAACACGUGGAUAACCUACCUAUAAGACUGGGAUAACUUCGGGAAACCGGAGCUAAUACCGGAUAAUAUAUUGAACCGCAUGGUUCAAUAGUGAAAGACGGUUUUGCUGUCACUUAUAGAUGGAUCCGCGCCGCAUUAGCUAGUUGGUAAGGUAACGGCUUACCAAGGCGACGAUGCGUAGCCGACCUGAGGGGGUGAUCGGCCACACUGGAACUGAGACACGGUCCAGACUCCUACGGGAGGCAGCAGUAGGGAAUCUUCCGCAAUGGGCGAAAGCCUGACGGAGCAACGCCGCGUGAGUGAUGAAGGUCUUCGGAUCGUAAAACUCUGUUAUUAGGGAAGAACAAAUGUGUAAGUAACUAUGCACGUCUUGACGGUACCUAAUCAGAAAGCCACGGCUAACUACGUG